rnacentral:rRNA from 1 species
CCUACGGGUGGCAGCAGUGGGGAAUAUUGCACAAUGGGGGAAACCCUGAUGCAGCGACGCCGCGUGAGUGAAGAAGUAUUUCGGUAUGUAAAGCUCUAUCAGCAGGGAAGAAAAUGACGGUACCUGAGUAAGAAGCCCCGGCUAACUACGUGCCAGCAGCCGCGGUAAUACGUAGGGGGCAAGCGUUAUCCGGAUUUACUGGGUGUAAGGGGAGCGUAGACGGCAGAGCAAGUCUGGAGUGAAAGGCGAGGGCUCAACCUGCGGACUGCUUUUGAAACUGUAUAGCUGGAGUGCAGGAGAGGUAAGCGGAAUGUGUAGUGUAGCGGUGAAAUGCGUAGAUAUUAGGAGGAACACCAGUGGCGAAGGCGGCUUACUGGACUGUAACUGACGUUGAGGCUCGAAAGCGUGGGGAGCAAACAGGAUUAGAUACCCUUGUAGUC